AUGUUUUGGAAAGUACUCUUACUAAUAGGUAUGAACACGCUUUCCAAACUCAAUCGGUUUUACAGGCAAAGAAGUAAAAAGUCUUGGGCUAUAAAAGGUGAUCGCAACACAAAAUUCUUCCAUCAGGCUGUGCUCAAACGUAGAAAAAGAAAUACUAUUUGUUCUAUCAAAGAUGAGCAUGACAAUAUUCAUUUCAAACCGGAGGCCAUGAUGCAAACGUUUAUUAAUUAUUUCAGUUAUGCUGGCAGGCCUUUUUCUUCCCCUAUUUGGACUAAUGACAACAAUGAUCCUACUUAUUCUAUUCCAGACAAGACUGAACUUUUGCGGAUUCUUAAAGACAUGAAGCUUAAUGCUUCUCCUGGUCCUGAUGGGUUCAAUGUAGAAUUUUAUUUAGCUACUUGGGAUUGGAUUGGGGAUGAGGUAACUCAACUUGUCACUCACUUCUAUAAUACUGCUACACUUCCCCCUCACAUCAAUGAUACCAAUAUUGCUCUUAUCCCUAAGAAGUUGGUUCCUCUUGUGCCCAUGGACUACCGUCCU
rnacentral:rRNA from 1 species